UAACAUAGUGAAAAUGGCCAUCUUACC
rnacentral:piRNA from 1 species